rnacentral:rRNA from 1 species
GAUGAACGCUGGCGGCGUGCCUAAUACAUGCAAGUCGAGCGAACAGACGAGGAGCUUGCUCCUCUGACGUUAGCGGCGGACGGGUGAGUAACACGUGGAUAACCUACCUAUAAGACUGGGAUAACUUCGGGAAACCGGAGCUAAUACCGGAUAAUAUCUUGAACCGCAUGGUUCAAUAGUGAAAGACGGUUUUGCUGUCACUUAUAGAUGGAUCCGCGCCGCAUUAGCUAGUUGGUAAGGUAACGGCUUACCAAGGCAACGAUGCGUAGCCGACCUGAGAGGGUGAUGGGCCACACGGGAACGGAGAAAGGGUCCAGACUCCUACGGGAGGAGGCAGAAGGGAAUCUUGCGCAAGGGGGGAAAGCCUGACGGAGCAAGGCCGCGUGAGUGAUGAAGGUCUUCGGAUCGUAAAACUCGGUUAUUAGGGAAGAACAAAUGUGUAAGUAACUAUGCACGUCGUGACGGUACCUAAUCAGAAAGCCACGGCUAACUACGUG